rnacentral:rRNA from 1 species
CGUGCAGUCUCAGUNCAGACUGUAUUAAAGUGAAACCGCANAAGGCUCAGUAAACCAGUUUUAAUUUACUAGAGUAAACUUGACUGUGCUUGGAUAACUGUGGUAAUUCUAGAGCUAAUACAUGCAACCAAGCCCUGACCAUCCGUGGCCAGGGCGCUUUUAUUAGAUCAAGACCAUUCGCCCGGCUCGUCCGGGCGUCUCUUUGAUGAACCUAAAUAACACAUCAGAUCGCAUGGUCUUUGUACCGGCGACUUAUCUUUCAAAUGCCUGACUUAUCAACUGACGAUGGUAGACUCUGUGUCUACCAUGGCUCUUACGGGUAACGGGGAAUCAGGGUUCGAUUCCGGAGAGGGAGCCUGAGAAACGGCUACCACAUCCAAGGAAGGCAGCAGGCACGCAAAUUACCCACUCCCGGCACGGGGAGGUAGUGACAAAAAAUAACGAUACGGGACUCGAUAUGAGGCCUCGUAAUCGGAAUGAGUACACUUUAAAUCCUUUAACAAGGAUCCAUUGGAGGGCAAGUCUGGUGCCAGCAGCCGCGGUAAUUCCAGCUCCAAUAGCGUAUAUUAAAGUUGUUGCGGUUAAAAAGCUCGUAGUUGGUUCUGCGUCCCACGCUGUCGGUACACCGUUUGUCGGUGACACUGGCAUGACGCGGGAUGUCCUGUCGGUGGCGGCCCAAAUCUCAGUGUCGUCGGGCCUACUCCGCGACGCUUCAGCUUUCGGCUGCCUGAUCCUAUCCUACCGCGGUGCUCUUCACUGAGUGUCGAGGUAGGCCGACACGUUUACUUUGAACAAAUUAGAGUGCUUAAAGCAGGCCAAAAUCUCUGCCAGAAUAGUGGUGCAUGGAAUAAUGGAACAGGCCCUUGGUUCUAUUCUGUUGGUCUCCGGAACACAAGGUAAUGAUCAAUGUGGACAGGCGGGGGCAUUCGUAUUGCGGCGUUAGAGGUGAAAUUCUUGGAUCGUCGCAAGACGCACUAGAGCGAAAGCAUUUGCCAAGUAUGUCUUGAGCUUUCCCCGGGAAACCAAAGCUUUUGGGUUCCGGGGGAAGUAUGGUUGCAAAGCUGAAACUUAAAGGAAUUGACGGAAGGGCACCACCAGAAGUGGAGCCUGCGGCUUAAUUUGACUCAACACGGGAAACUUCACCAGGUCAGGACAUUGGAAUGAUUGACAGAUUGAUAGCUCUUUCUUGAUUCAGUGGGUAGUGGUGCAUGGCCGUUCUUAGUUGGUGGAUCGAUUUGUCUGGUUAAUUCCGAUAACGAACGAGACUCUAGCCUAUUAACUAGACGUGUUUGGUAUCGAAGCUACCGGCGAACUAUGUUCUUCUUAAGGGGACAGGCGGCUUUUAGCCGCACGAGAUUGAGCAAUAACAGGUCUGUGAUGCCCUUAGAUGUCCUGGGCCGCACGCGCGCUACACUGAAGGAAUCAGCGUGUGCGUUCCCUUGGCCGAAAGGUCCGGGUAACCCGCUGAAACUCCUUCGUGCUAGGAAUUGGGGCUUGCAAUUGUUCCCCAUGAACGAGGAAUUCCCAGUAAACGCGAGUCAUAAGCUCGCGUUGAUUAAGUCCCUGCCCUUUGUACACACCGCCCGUCGCUACUACCGAUUGAAUGAUUUAGUGAGGUCUUCGGACUGGCGGUAAGCCCAACCGACUUGUCGGUUUUGUCGAACGCUGGAAAGAUGACCAAACUUGAUCAUUUAGAGGAAGUAAAAGUCGUAACAAGGUUUCCGUA